AGGCCUCGUGUGGCGCAGUAUGCAGCGCGUAAGUCUCAUAAUCUUAAGUGUCGUGAGUUCGAUCCUCACCCGGGGCAAUACGUUUUU
rnacentral:tRNA from 1 species